rnacentral:rRNA from 1 species
ACCUUCGGGCCUCAUGCCAUCAGAUGUGCCCAGAUGGGAUUAGCUAGUAGGUGGGGUAACGGCUCACCUAGGCGACGAUCCCUAGCUGGUCUGAGAGGAUGACCAGCCACACUGGAACUGAGACACGGUCCAGACUCCUACGGGAGGCAGCAGUGGGGAAUAUUGCACAAUGGGCGCAAGCCUGAUGCAGCCAUGCCGCGUGUGUGAAGAAGGCCUUCGGGUUGUAAAGCACUUUCAGCGGGGAGGAAGGCGAUAAGGUUAAUAACCUUGUCGAUUGACGUUACCCGCAGAAGAAGCACCGGCUAACUCCGUGCCAGCAGCCGCGGUAAUACGGAGGGUGCAAGCGUUAAUCGGAAUUACUGGGCGUAAAGCGCACGCAGGCGGUCUGUCAAGUCGGAUGUGAAAUCCCCGGGCUCAACCUGGGAACUGCAUUCGAAACUGGCAGGCUAGAGUCUUGUAGAGGGGGGUAGAAUUCCAGGUGUAGCGGUGAAAUGCGUAGAGAUCUGGAGGAAUACCGGUGGCGAAGGCGGCCCCCUGGACAAAGACUGACGCUCAGGUGCGAAAGCGUGGGGAGCAAACAGGAUUAGAUACCCUGGUAGUCCACGCCGUAAACGAUGUCGAUUUGGAGGUUGUGCCCUUGAGGCGUGGCUUCCGGAGCUAACGCGUUAAAUCGACCGCCUGGGGAGUACGGCCGCAAGGUUAAAACUCAAAUGAAUUGACGGGGGCCCGCACAAGCGGUGGAGCAUGUGGUUUAAUUCGAUGCAACGCGAAGAACCUUACCUGGUCUUGACAUCCACAGAACUUUCCAGAGAUGGAUUGGUGCCUUCGGGAACUGUGAGACAGGUGCUGCAUGGCUGUCGUCAGCUCGUGUUGUGAAAUGUUGGGUUAAGUCCCGCAACGAGCGCAACCCUUAUCCUUUGUUGCCAGCGGUUAGGCCGGGAACUCAAAGGAGACUGCCAGUGAUAAACUGGAGGAAGGUGGGGAUGACGUCAAGUCAUCAUGGCCCUUACGACCAGGGCUACACACGUGCUACAAUGGCAUAUACAAAGAGAAGCGACCUCGCGAGAGCAAGCGGACCUCAUAAAGUAUGUCGUAGUCCGGAUUGGAGUCUGCAACUCGACUCCAUGAAGUCGGAAUCGCUAGUAAUCGUAGAUCAGAAUGCUACGGUGAAUACGUUCCCGGGCCUUGUACACACCGCCCGUCACACCAUGGGAGUGGGUUGCAAAAGAAGUAGGUAGCUUAACCUUCGGGAGGGCGCUUACCACUUUGUGAUUCAUGACUGGGGUGAAGUCGUAACAAGGUAACCGUAGGGGAACCUGCGGUUGGAUCACCUCCUU